rnacentral:rRNA from 1 species
AUGGCGCCCUCUGCCGAGGACGAAGCUGACCUUCCCGGCCGCCCCAUUGCCGAAUGCCAGCGGCCACCCUUCAGAAGCCCUUCCCGGCGGCGACCAAGCCGCCCUCGUCGGCCUUUUGCUGGUCUUGACGGUGUCCGCAAGCCGCCUGCUCGUCCUCGCCUCAACUCGCCGGCCGGCGAGAGGUCAAGCUGUGCGGCGGCGCCAACACCGGAGACCAGCGCGAGGCAGCUAGAUGCCCCACCAGGUCCAGGCUCGUGGUCCUCGGCCCUUCCCCUGUGGCUCCGGUCCUCCGAGAUCGAGAUCGAGCGAGAAAUACAGGGGAAACGAGGGAAAACGACCGACCGAGAGGUGUUUUGGAAACCUGCGGGAUACUAA